GAAGUCGUGGCCGAGUGGUUUACGGCGAUGGACUAGAAAUCCAUUGGGGUCUCCCCGCACAGGUUCGAAUCCUGUCGACUGCG
rnacentral:tRNA from 2 species